rnacentral:rRNA from 1 species
AUGCAAGUCGAACGGUAACAUGAGAGCUUGCUCUUGAUGACGAGUGGCGCACGGGUGCGUAACGCGUAUGCAAUCUACCUAUAACUGAGGCAUAGCCCAGAGAAUUUUGGAUUAAUACCUCAUAAUAAUAUUUUUUGGCAUCAUUAAAUAUUUAAAACUCCGGUGGUUAUAGAUGAGCAUGCGUUCUAUUAGUUUGUUGGUGAGGUAAAAGCUCACCAAGACCACGAUAGAUAGGGGGCCUGAAAGGGCGAUCCCCCACACUGGUACUGAGACACGGACCAGACUCCUACGGGAGGCAGCAGUGAGGAAUAUUGCACAAUGGAGGAAACUCUGAUGCAGCCAUGCCGCGUGCAGGAUGAAAGCCCUAUGGGUUGUAAACUGCUUUUUUACAAGAAGAAACAUUGGUACGUGUACCAACUUGACGGUAUUGUAAGAAUAAGCACCGGCUAACUCCGUGCCAGCAGCCGCGGUACUACGGAGGGUGCAAGCGUUAUCCGGAUUUAUUAGG